UACGUAGGGGGCAAGCGUUGUCCGGAAUCAUUGGGCGUAAAGAGCGUGUAGGCGGCCCGGUAAGUCCGCUGUGAAAGUCGGGGGCUCAACCCUCGAAUGCCGGUGGAUACUGUCGGGCUAGAGUGCGGAAGAGGCGAGUGGAAUUCCGUGGUGUAGCGGUGAAAUGCGCAGAUAUCAGGAGGAACACCGAUUGCGAAGGCAGCUCGCUGGGACGUAACUGACGCUGAGACGCGAAAGCGUGGGGGAGCAAACAGG
rnacentral:rRNA from 1 species